CUGCCCCUGAGGGAGGAUCUCUUUUUGGAGUUCCCUCCUUGGUGGAAGCUUUUCCCUACAAACCCAGAAUCUCCUGACAUAGGGUUAAUUCAGUAUAUUCAGACAUUAUGAGGACAGUCCAGAGACAACCAAUGAGCCAUCUCCUGUGCCCAAGAACAGCAUGGGUCUCUUUUAAUUCUGAAGAAAAGAAUAUAAACUCCAUAUAAAAAGGAUCAGAAAGUCAAACAUCUGGCCAAUUUAUGCCACAAGAUGAUGCUUUGCAAGUUUCACAAGGCUAAACGUUCAGUGGGAAAGACAAAGAAGAGAAGAAGGUUUGGAUUAAAUAAGAAAAGACAGUAACAGAAGAGGGAUGCAGCUGUCACUGACUGUUUUCCCAAACGAGCAUGGAUACUUCUUGUAUUCAGACAGGCUCUGUAAAUUACCAUCACAAUGUUGAACUAAUUUCCUUUGUUCUGUAUUAUCUAGCCUAAUACUUUUUUAAUACCAUUUAGACAAAAAGUCAAAAUUACCUUGACUUCAGUAAAAGUAUCCUCAUUUAACUAUAGAAAACAUACUUUUGCUACCAGCCUAAAAAUAAAAUGAUUAAUUCUUUCACGUUUCCUAUGAA